AUGACGAGAGUGAAGAAUAGUUACUAUGUACUUCCAGGAGAGCCUGAACCGAAGCGCACCGUGUCAAACACUCACAGCAUUGGGAAGGUAAUGUUUCUAACAGCUGUUGCCAGGCCUCAAUAUAACAAUGAGGGGGAGCUAACAUUCGAUGGGAAGAUCGGCAUUUGGGCAUUCGUCGAAGAGAGUGAGGCGAAGCGGACAAGUCAGAACAGAACAAAGGGAACAAAAGUGUUGACUUCAGUGAAAGUAACCAGGCAUGUGUGCAGAGAUUAUCUGAUCAAUAAGGUUAUCCUAGCAAUUCAGGAUAAGUGGCCUGACGAUGAUGAGGGAGAAACAAUAUUCAUCCAACAGGAUAACGCAAAGCCUCAUGUCCUUCCUAAUGAUGUAGCUUUUCGAGAAGCUGUGGAACAAACUGAUCUUGACAUCCGAUUGCUACAACAGCCCCCAAAUAGCCCUGAGUUAAAUUGUUUGGACAUCUGCUUCCAUAACUCUCUCCAGUCUCUAACCGACUGCAGGUCACCUACAAACAUCCAGGAACUGGUACAGGGUGUGGAAGGGGAAUUCGAGAACUACGAUCCUGACAAGUUGCACAGAAGCUUUAUCACAUUAGAAGAAGAUAUGUUUGAAGUUAUGAAAGACAAAGGAGGAAACCAAUAG
rnacentral:rRNA from 1 species